UACAGAGGUCUCAAGCGUUUGUUCGGGAUUCAUUGGGCGUAAAGGGUGCGUAGGCGGCGCGGUAAGUCGGGUGUGAAAUCUGGGCUUAACUCCGAAACUGCAUUCGAUACUGCCGGUGCUUGAGGACUGGAGAGGAGACUGGAAUUUAUGGUGUAGCGGUGAAAUGCGUAGAUAUCAUGAGGAAGACCAGUGGCGAAGGCGGGGUCUCUGGACAGUUCCUGACACUGAGGCCCGAAGGCCAGGGGAGCAAAGCGGG
rnacentral:rRNA from 1 species